rnacentral:lncRNA from 1 species
AAUUUAUUAAGAUAAAUAUUUUCAGAAGGCUUUGAUAAUUAUUAGCUAUUUGUGAAUUGUGCCUCUCACCUGUCACCAUCCUCUCAGCUUAUGUGUUCCCAAAACAGGAGGUUGGAGCAUUAUUCCCUACAACAUCCUGAUAACGUGCCAAGCAUGAGAUCUGAGAGAGAAAAUGAAGCUGGUAAUUGGAACUGCCUAAAAGUAGGGCAGGACUGGGUGUAGGCAGAGCAUCGGGUUGGGGGGAGUGUGCUCUGAUCCCAGCUCUCCCACUGCCUAUCGAUGUGAUCUCAUACUGAUUGUAUCAGACUUUCAGGGCUCAAUUCAGUAUCACAAAAAUCAAGAUCAUGGCACUGUUUGCAUUGCUCAGCGACACAUAACCUGGAUUGAAGGGUGCUGUGCUGAAUCAGAGACCUUUCAACAUAGCCCCGAGGUGGCAAGAAGGAAAAGCUUGGGCUGAGCCCAUCAGGGAGUACAGAGGUGACACUGCUGUUGUAGUGCAUGAUUGGAGACUGCUGCUCAGAACUAUGAGCCUCGUAAAUUUGUUGUGCAUACUAUGUAACAAGGCUGAAAUCUUCUGUAGACCAUGCUGUAAUGCCAGCACUAGCUACAGGGAGAUGUCUACACUCCUGUUCUACGGGUGUGAUGCUCUGACACAGUGCACACACCCAUAGUUGAUGUGAAAUUCAUUUCCAGUUGUGUGGAGAUGGAUUGAGGUUUGUGAGUACCAGAGAUGUUCUGUGGGACCUCGAACUUUCUUUAACUGCAUCCUCUUCCACCUUUGCUAGAGCCUGCAGUUUCAACUGCAUAACAGCAUUAAAAUUGACUUUGGAAUUAAUUUUAAAUAGAUGAAAUACUUGUGUCUUAGAAUCUUAUAGCAAAUGCCCAUAAUCUGGCGUAGCAAUUUUCUUUGAUUUCCAUCUUAAAUAUCUUCACGUAGAUAAGGGGUGUUUUGUACCCAUUCUUAAGAAACAGGCUCAGGGAUGGGUUAUGAAGAAACUUUUCUUGCGUGGCUUCUGCCGUGUGUUUUUUUGUUUCUUUCCAGCAGCAGCAGAACUGAAGACUUACGUGACUGAUGGAUUCAUUCAGGGCAUCUCGGAGAAAUGAUGCUGAUGUUUUGGUGCCAGGAUGUGCUGUUUAAAGCCUUCUCCAAAUGACUCCCAGGUUCUGGGAAGCUGAACAGUCUGAAAGACAAAAUCAGUUCCCCUCCUGGUGCUUGUCAUGACCUGACCUACCCAACACAUUCAUGGCUGCUGUCGACAACCAGAACAGAUCAAGUGUCUUUUUACGACACUUACUUUUCUUGCAAAGGAGAUGACAUCUGACUGUUCUUUCAGUAGCAAAACCCUCGUGUGAACUUGAAGGACUUGCUGAAAUUGCCAACGUGCUCUCGCCAUGCACCAAAGCAAUAGGAACCACAUGGGGCUGUGGGGAAGGGAGUUGCUGCUCCCCACCAACACCCAUCCCAGUACAAACAGUGAGCCCCAGAGACAACGGUGAGGACAGCAGCUCCUUUUCUGCCAAUAUUUCACAGUCGGACCAUCCAGGAUUUGUUUUUUGCAUCACCAACCUUCAGAUGUGCAGGAAAAGUGAUGUUUGCAGAGGACUUUGCUGCCUGUGCCAGCAAUCAGGGCCGAAUUAAGGGACUUGACGCUGAGAGGGGAUGAGGACAUUGAGUCAACGUGCAAUCUAAUCCGAUAUGUCAAAGAGAAAGAGGGGCUUUUGUGCUGGUUAAUGGACUGUCCUUUGGAGACGCAGCGCUUGCCUCCGGGAAUGACGCACACGUCGGCCAGGCUGGAGUGCUCGGAAGGAAUUAGGCUGUAUAAUUUCAGGUUGCCUUUGAGUCAAAGAAAGUUUUUAGAGAUUCAUUCCUUAUUUAUUGACAUGUUUGCUUUUGCCGCAGAGAAAGAAAAGGAAAAGUCCUGUGAGAUGGAAAAAAAAAAACCCACUUUCCAUCUUGCUUUUAAAAAGAGCCUCAGGAUUUUUUACGAAGUCCCAGUUAAAAACUGCCUGCAAAGUUAAUUGGAGGACUGGACAAAAACCACAGUAUUUUUUUUCUUUACAUGAAUUCUUGCCUUUGCUUUGCCUAAGUGCACUCUGUGCCUAUGAUAUUGAAUGUGACCAUGUGCAGAAUAAAAAAUGAUUGCUUCUGGU